UGGCCUGUUAGAUGCCUGGGUAAAUCGGUGCGCUCAACGCACCGAACUCCGGGUAGACCGGCAGGCUCGAGACCGGGAGAGGCAUGGGCUACUCGCGGGGUAGGGGUAAAAUCCUGUAAUCCUGCGGGGAGGACCAGUGGCGAAGGCGCCAUGCUAGAACGGCUCUGACAGUGAGGGACGAAGCCCUGGGGCGCAAACCGGAUUAGAUACCCGGGUAGUCCAGGGUGUAAACGCUGCAGACUUGGUGUCGGUGAUCCUACGAGGGUUGCCGGUGCCGGAGAGAAGUUGUUGAGUCUGCCGCCUGGGGA
rnacentral:rRNA from 1 species